rnacentral:sRNA from 1 species
CACUUCCAUGCACAUUUCAAGAAUGCAGAUGGACACCCCUCCCUUUGGUGCUACUGUCUGAGGGUAUAAGAUUUUAAAGUGAGCAUCUGGCGGUAGUAGCAUUUUUAGAUAUAUUUUUGGCUAAGUUUCUCAUUGCAGUGCCUUUCUUUCCUGCCAGUAGUUUCAUAGCUAUUUAUCCAGCUUGGAGAACCUUCCCUAAUUUCAUAUCUUCUAGCCAAGUUUUUACAUGUCUGUCACCACAACAUAAACAUGUGAGUUGAAUAACUUUUAAAAGCAGAGUCUGUCUGUAUACAAGUUUUUGCUUUCUACUUUCAAUUGCCUUCUUAGAUGAGCUAAGUGUUGGACAGCCAGCUCAGUGCUGUUUUUGGGACUAUGGAAUGCAUCUUCCUCCACCACUCCCCUCAUUUAAUGGAAGGACUUUCUUCUCUCUCCAUCUAGCACAGUAAUGACUAAUCCCUUAGACAACGUUUUCCCAAAAUUUCAGGCAGCUAUUCUAUCAACAAACUGAUAAUUAAACUUGUGUCACAUCUUUGAUAUUCUGUUAUAUUAAUUCUGUUGGGGUAGUCUUUAAUCUUCCUGAAACUUUUUCUUUCCAUAUUAGGAAAUAUUUUCCUAAUAUCUCUAAAGCCUAACUUGUCCAUCUCACUUACUGUCUGAAUCUUCCCAACUUAUGCAUGCCCACUUUUAUUGUUUAAAUUUGUUUCUUUUUUUUUUUUUUAAACACAGGGAGACUGCAUUGCUUAUUGAUCCAAAAAAUUCCUGUUCUUCAUCCCGCCAGUGGGUUGCUCUGGUUGUGGGACAUGAACUCGCCCAUCAAUGGUUUGGAAAUCUUGUUACUAUGGAAUGGUGGACUCAUCUUUGGUUAAAUGAAGGUUUUGCAUCCUGGAUUGAAUAUCUGUGUGUAGACCACUGCUUCCCAGAGUAUGAUAUUUGGACUCAGUUUGUUUCUGCUGAUUACACCCGUGCCCAGGAGCUUGACGCCUUAGAUAACAGCCAUCCUAUUGAAGUCAGUGUGGGCCAUCCAUCUGAGGUUGAUGAGAUAUUUGAUGCUAUAUCAUAUAGCAAAGGUGCAUCUGUCAUCCGAAUGCUGCAUGACUACAUUGGGGAUAAGGACUUUAAGAAAGGAAUGAACAUGUAUUUAACCAAGUUCCAACAAAAGAAUGCUGCCACAGGUAAUCUUUAAUAGCUUGAGAUAGAAAUGGAGAGAAAGUAUUGUCACUCUAUCCAGGCUGAGGCAUUUUAUUUUUGUUCUGAAUACUUAACUCAAGGUCAGGAUCAAUGUAAUAAAUAAAUUAGCCUUAUUUG